GCCCGGGCAAGAGGAGUCAGCCCCGGGCCGUCUGUCCCUCCAGGCCUCAUGCCCUUGCGGCCAGGCCUUUGCUCUCCCUGCUCCGUCCUGAGAGGCUCUGGCAACAGGAGGAUUUUUUCAGGAGGGCAGGGCCAGCUCCUCAGAGGUAGGUGGGCCCUGGUAGGAAGGGGUGGGAGAGGCAAGGAGGACGGGACAGGGCUGAGGCCCGCAUCAGAGGGAAGGCCAGGCCUGUCUCUGCAGCCCUGGCUGCUUUGUAUACACACGGUCCGCAGGGACCAGCCCAGGGGACAUUUGGGGCGUUUGGCAAUGCCUGGAGACAUUUUUGGAUGCCACGCCCGGGGGUAACGCACAGCCAGUGCAUCCAGCCAGUAAAAGCCGGAGGUGCUGCUGAAUGCCCUACGAUGUGCAAGCCGGGCCCCCAACAAAGAAUUGUCCAACUGGAGAAAUCGCCAUCCGCAUGACUGGCCUCUCCCAAGGCAGGAGCCUCCGCGGGGCACUCAGGGUGGCUCCCGGCCACGCCUGGGGUCCCUGACAGGAAGGCUCGUAUUGACAGAAGCAGCAGACGGAAUUGCCGGAGCGCCUGCCAGGCAGCUGACUCUGCGUGGGACCAAGGUUCACGGGCUGGACCCUCUUGAAGCCCACGCCCCUCUCCUGGCCACAGACUCCCUGGCCGCCCGAGGUGGGAGGUGGACAUUAUUCCCGGGCACUUCCUUGCCCAGAGCUGCCGGCUCCGAGUGAGAAGCGGGCACUGUGGUCUUGCGUGGACCUGAGGGCUGGCCCCCAGAUCCUAGAAACGGGCUCCUGGGCUGACGCCAUCCCUGUCUCCCUGCUCCCCACUCUGGAGGCCCGGCCCUGCCCCUGCAGGCCUCCGACUUCCUCUGCUGCUCCCGGCUCACCCGCUGGGCUCAGUCCCUCCAUGCCCGCCUCCCCAGUCAGCGGCCCCCUCCUUGGAGAAGUUUUCCUGGGUCCCUCCCCUCUUUUCCAUUCCUGGUUCCCUUCCAGCCCCCGGCACAUAUUCUGGUACCCAGAGAGUGCUCUGGGAGGGUGGCAGCCGCAAAGAGCUAAGAAUUUGCUAGACGUACAAAGGGGCAA